rnacentral:rRNA from 1 species
AGUUUGAUCCUGGCUCAGACUCAAGCGGUAGCGGCGUGCCUAACACAUGCAAGUCGAACGAGAAAGUGGGGCUUGCUCCACAAGUACAGUGGCAAACGGGUGAGUAACACGUGAACAAUCUACCCUCGAGUGGGGGAUAACACCGCGAAAGCGGUGCUAAUACCGCAUAAUAUCUUCGGGUCGCAUGAUCUGAAGAUCAAAAGCGCAAGCUGCUUGAGGAGGGGUUCGCGCCUGAUUAGCUUGUUGGUGAGGUAACGGCUCACCAAGGCUGCGAUCAGUAGCCGGCCUGAGAGGGCGAACGGCCACACUGGAACUGAGACACGGUCCAGACUCCUACGGGAGGCAGCAGUGGGGAAUUUUGCGCAAUGAGCGAAAGCCUGACGCAGCAACGCCGCGUGGAGGAUGAAGGCCCUCGGGUCGUAAACUCCUGUCAGUGGGGACGAAUGCUUCGUAAGAAGUUUGACUGUACCCGCUGAGGAAGCCACGGCUAACUCCGUACCAGCAGCCGCGGUAAUACGGAGCGUGGCAAGCGUUGUUCGGAAUUACUGGGCGUAAAGGGCGCGUAGGCGGCUUGGCAAGUCAGAUGUGAAAGCCCGGGCUUUACCCCGGGAAUUGCAUCU